rnacentral:misc_RNA from 1 species
AACACUGUUAACCUGCGGUACCUGCGGAAGGAUCAUUACAGAGUUCGUGCCCUCGCGGGUAGAUCUCCCACCCUUGUGUAUUCUCUACAUCUUGUUGCUUUGGCAGGCCGUUGGUUCGCCAACCACCGGCUCGCGGGCUGGUGCGUGCCUGCCAGAGGACCUCUCAAACUCGGUUUGUUAGUGUCGUCUGAGUACCAUAACAAUCGUUAAAACUUUUAGCAAUGGAUCUCAGAUCGGAAG